AUGGAAGGCUGCGGCAAGGUGGGAAAUAGGGUUUUGGACGAAUUUCUGAAUAUGGAGAGGGUGGUCUUCGGCCAAGGGAGGUAAAACACAUAUAUAUAGGCAGCCAAACCCUAAAGAAAUCAGGUUAGACAAAUGGGCUAGGGUUGGUGCGGCUAGGGUUAGGAAAUCCACCAAAAACUAGGGUUUCUAGAACAUUAGGUGCGGCAUGGGCUUAGGGUAAGUAAUUAGAUUUUUUUCAUGUGAACAAGGCCUAGGUGCGGCUGAUUAAGUGGGCUAGGGUUAGGGUUAGGUGCGGCAUAGGUCCAAGAGGCAAAGAUGGGUCAUCCAAAAGCCCAAAGCCAAGAAUAGAAACUCUCGAAAAUGGAAACCUCCAAGAAUAGAAACUUCCAACUUUAGAAACUUUAGUUGCCAAUUUCGACUUCUUUGUUCUUUACUUUCAUUUCUUCAUUUCUUAAGCUCCCUCGACCUUCAAACUCGUCCAUUCCUUGUUCCAAGCAUGUACUUUUCAAUCCAAGCUCACUUUUGCUCUAAAAUGCUCCAUUUUGCCAUCUUUUAUGUCAUAUGCCCUUUGAACCUGAAAACACAUGAAAGUAGCUCAAAAGACUACUUUAACUAAGAAAACAUAACGAAAAUGCAUAAGAACUAGCUAACUAAGGCGCAUAAAUAUGCUCCUAUCAAAUUCCCCCACACUUAGCUUUUGCUAGUCCUCGAGCAAAACAAAGAAACAAAAGAAAAACAAAAUGAAACAAAACAAACAAAAACAACCUAAACCUUCCAACGUUUGCCUCAGGGAUUUCCAAUGCACAUGACAUAUUAAAAAUCAUCAUUCCCACAGAUUUUAGCCAUCUUUACACUUAAGCACACACUUAAUCAUAGUCACCACGUACUAGUUCACAUUUAACCAAUUAAAACAUGAUUUUGACUUUAGUAACAUGCCUUAGAGAAUUUGCUCAAUUCCUCACUAGAUAUGCACUCAAUUUUCACACAGAUUCUCUGACUACACACCCUAUACUAGUUAUAUGUGAGAAGAUUGAUGUAAAUAUGAAAACGAAUGCUCACAUAUGUUAUAACAAGGAAAGCUUUUUCUGAAUUAAUAAGCAUGCAUAUGAUCUCAUGAAAGGAAUGCUACUACUUAGACGCGAGAACCAGUGACACCAUAUGCUCAUACCAAUCCCAACCUCCACAAAUUGAAAUACACAACACUCAAGAUAGAAGUUAAGGGUUGUAACGGGGCUUGGGGUAUUGGCUAACAAAGAAAGGUGAAGGAUAAACAAACGUUCUUAAAACAAUAGUAAGCAAAGCAAUGAAAUUGACACUUAGAAUUCACUUUUGAAUGCAAAAAUCAACUUUUAAACUCAAAGGGGAAAUUCAAGCAACACUUAGGGUCAAAUUCAAUGUUUUGGACCCUUUCUUCAACAACCAACACCUUAGAGCUCAAUUUCAUGCUCUUUCAACUCUUUUUCACACUUUUCACAUUUUUUUUUCUUUUCUUUUUCUUUUCUACCCCAUGCCUCAAUUAAGACUUUGGCACACAAUACACAAGGCUCAUUUUCCCCCACACUUGUUUUCUGCACACCCUUGAUCAAAAGGAAUUCAUUUUAAGUCAUGCUUACUAUGCUUUAAGAACAAGGGUAUGGAUGGUCCUAAUCUAGGCUAGGUAAGGAUAACGUGGGUUAACAAACAAUAUAGGCUAAACAAGGCUCAACGGGGCUAAAACCUACAAAAACAAAUGUAUGGAAUGAAGGCUUUUUGGCUAUGGUGGUAACUACUAAACAACUUCAUCUUGAAUACGUGUUAUGCAAUUCAAUGAAAUGUUUUGAAUGAAAUUGGCAUGAGUUCUAGCAUUUGGAACUAAAGUGAUGAAACGCAUUCUAAGUAACAACCAAGGGAGAGGGUGGUCUUCGGCCAAGGGAGGUAAAACACAUAUAUAUAGGCAGCCAAACCCUAAAGAAAUCAGGUUAGACAAAUGGGCUAGGGUUUAGGUGCGGCUAGGGUUAGGAAAUCCACCAAAAACUAGGGUUUCUAGAACAUUAGGUGCGGCAUGGGCUUAGGGUAAGUAAUUAGAUUUUUUUCAUGUGAACAAGGCCUAGGUGCGGCUGAUUAAGUGGGCUAGGGUUAGGGUUAGGUGCGGCAUAGGUCCAAGAGGCAAAGAUGGGUCAUCCAAAAGCCCAAAGCCAAGAAUAGAAACUCUCGAAAAUGGAAACCUCCAAGAAUAGAAACUUCCAACUUUAGAAACUUUAGUUGCCAAUUUCGACUUCUUUGUUUUUUACUUUCAUUUCUUCAUUUCUUAAGCUCCCUCGACCUUCAAACUC
rnacentral:lncRNA from 1 species